rnacentral:snoRNA from 1 species
GCCUUCUCAAUGAGCUCCUUCCUGCCGUCAAGUCAGUGGCAGUCUAUGGAUUCGCACGAGAAGAAUAUUAAUCCCUCAGUGCUGACGCUCAUCUCUGUUUGCUUCAGAUGUGUGAUUGCCAGCAUUGUGGAACAUUA